GAUGAACGCUGGCGGCGUGCCUAAUACAUGCAAGUCAAGCGAACGGACGAGAAGCUUGCUUCUCUGAUGUUAGCGGCGGACGGGUGAGUAACACGUGGAUAACCUACCUAUAAGACUGGGAUAACUUCGGGAAACCGGAGCUAAUACCGGAUAAUAUUUUGAACCGCAUGGUUCAAAAGUGAAAGACGGUCUUGCUGUCACUUAUAGAUGGAUCCGCGCUGCAUUAGCUAGUUGGUAAGGUAACGGCUUACCAAGGCAACGAUGCAUAGCCGACCUGAGAGGGUGAUCGGCCACACUGGAACUGAGACACGGUCCAGACUCCUACGGGAGGCAGCAGUAGGGAAUCUUCCGCAAUGGGCGAAAGCCUGACGGAGCAACGCCGCGUGAGUGAUGAAGGUCUUCGGAUCGUAAAACUCUGUUAUUAGGGAAGAACAUGUGUGUAAGUAACUGUGCACAUCUUGACGGUACCUAAUCAGAAAGCCACGGCUAACUACGUG
rnacentral:rRNA from 1 species